rnacentral:rRNA from 1 species
CCUACGGGUGGCAGCAGUAGGGAAUAUUGCUCAAUGGGGGAAACCCUGAAGCAGCAACGCCGCGUGGAGGAUGAAGGUUUUCGGAUUGUAAACUCCUUUUGUUAGAGAAGAUAAUGACUGUAUCUAACGAAUAAGCACCGGCUAACUCCGUGCCAGCAGCCGCGGUAAUACGGAGGGUGCAAGCGUUACUCGGAAUCACUGGGCGUAAAGAGCGCGUAGGCGGGAUAGCAAGUCAGAUGUGAAAUCCUAGGGCUUAACCAUAGAAAUGCAUUUGAAACUGUUAUUCUAGAGUAUGGGAGAGGUAGGUGGAAUUCUUGGUGUAGGGGUAAAAUCCGUAGAGAUCAAGAGGAAUACUCAUUGCGAAGGCGACCUGCUAGAACAUAACUGACGCUGAUGCGCGAAAGCGUGGGGAGCAAACAGGAUUAGAUACCCCGGUAGUC